CCUACGGGCGGCUGCAGUAGGGAAUAUUGCGCAAUGGACGAAAGUCUGACGCAGCGACGCCGCGUGGGUGAUGAAGGUUUUCGGAUCGUAAAGCCCUGUCGGAGGGGACGAAAAACGGAAUGGCUAAUAUCCAUCCGCUUGACGGUACCCUCAAAGGAAGCACCGGCUAACUACGUGCCAGCAGCCGCGGUAAUACGUAGGGUGCGAGCGUUGUUCGGAAUCAUUGGGCGUAAAGCGCGUGUAGGCGGUUAGUUAAGUCAGAUGUGAAAUCCCUG
rnacentral:rRNA from 1 species